CCCUACGGGGCGCGGUUCACUGGGCUAUGCGAUGACUGAUGCGCGUCAUGCGAGACAUGUCGUUGCGAUCACUGACAACCUUGUCGACUACCCGCUUAAUCCCAGGAUAUCCAUACCGCAGUAUCUUGUAGACAGUAUUGUUUGUAUUGAAAGCCUGGGAGAUCCGAAGAAGAUUGCGACCGGGGCUGCAAGGAUAACAAGGAAUCCGGUAGACCUUAAGAUCGCCAAAGAUUCUUUCCGCCUGAUGAAAGCCUCCGGCAUACUGGAGCCCGGUUUCUCUUUCCAGAUGGGUGUGGGAGGGGCAAGCCUGGCUGUCGCAAAAUACCUUGCGGAGCACAUGAGGGAGAAGGGUAUUCGGGGCAGCUUCGGAAUUGGCGGGGGGGC
rnacentral:rRNA from 1 species